AUUGAACGCUGGCGGAAUGCUUUACACAUGCAAGUCGAACGGCAGCACGGACUUCGGUCUGGUGGCGAGUGGCGAACGGGUGAGUAAUGUAUCGGAACGUGCCCAGUCGUGGGGGAUAACGUCGUGAGAAUUACGCUAAUACCGCAUACGAUCUAUGGAUGAAAGCGGGUGAUCGCAAGACCUCGCGCGAUUGGAGCGGCCGAUAUCAGAUUAGGUAGUUGGUGGGGUAAAGGCCCACCAAGCCAACGAUCUGUAGCUGGUCUGAGAGGACGACCAGCCACACUGGAACUGAGACACGGUCCAGACUCCUACGGGAGGCAGCAGUGGGGAAUUUUGGACAAUGGGCGAAAGCCUGAUCCAGCCAUUCCGCGUGCAGGAUGAAGGCCCUCGGGUUGUAAACUGCUUUUGUACAGAACGAAAAGGUUUCUACUAAUACUAGGAGCUCAUGACGGUACUGUAAGAAUAAGCACCGGCUAACUACGUGCCAGCCGCCGCCGUAA
rnacentral:rRNA from 1 species